GUCCUUGUCGAUUAGUGGUUAGAUCAUCACGUUGUGGCCGUGAAGACGCAGGCUCGAAUCCUGCCUGGGACA
rnacentral:tRNA from 1 species